GUAGGUGGCAAGCGUUGUCCGGAAUUAUUGGGCGUAAAGCGCGCGCAGGCGGUUCUUUAAGUCUGAUGUGAAAGCCCACGGCUCAACCGUGGAGGGUCAUUGGAAACUGGAGAACUUGAGUACAGAAGAGGAAAGCGGAAUUCCACGUGUAGCGGUGAAAUGCGUAGAGAUGUGGAGGAACACCAGUGGCGAAGGCGGCUUUCUGGUCUGUAACUGACGCUGAGGCGCGAAAGCGUGGGGAGCAAACAGGAUUAGAUACCCUGGUAGUCCACGCCGUAACCGAUGAGUGCUAAGUGUUAGGGGGGUUUCCGCCCCCCUUAGUGCUGCAGCUAACGCAUUAAGCACUCCGCCUGGGAGUACGGCCGCAAGGCUG
rnacentral:rRNA from 1 species